AAGUCGUAACAAGGUUUCCGUAGGUGAACCUGCGGAAGGAUCAUUACACAAUGUAUUUAGCGCCGGCUUCGGCUGGUGCUACCUUCACCCUUUGCCUAUCUGUACCUCUAUCGCUUCCUCGGCAGGCUCGCCUGCCGCCAGGAACCCCCUAAACCCUUUGCAUCUAUACAUGAAAACUUCUGAUACCAACCUAAAUUAUCACAACUUUCAACAAUGGAUCUCUUGGUUCUG
rnacentral:misc_RNA from 1 species